AUUGAACGCUGGCGGCAGGCCUAACACAUGCAAGUCGAACGAGCGGCGGACGGGUGAGUAAUGUCUGGGAAUCUGCCCGAUGGAGGGGGAUAACUACUGGAAACGGUGGCUAAUACCGCAUACCAUCGGAUGUACCCAGAUGGGAUUAGCUAGUAGGUGGGGUAAAGGCUCACCUAGGCGACGAUCCCUAGCUGGUCUGAGAGGAUGACCAGCCACACUGGAACUGAGACACGGCCCAGACUCCUACGGGAGGCAGCAGUGGGGAAUAUUGCACAAUGGGCGCAAGCCUGAUGCAGCCAUGCCGCGUGUAUGAAGAAGGCCUUAGGGUUGUAAAGUACUUUCAGCGAGGAGGCGUUACCCGCAGAAGAAGCACCGGCUAACUCCGUGCCAGCAGCCGCGGUAAUUC
rnacentral:rRNA from 1 species